ACCAAAGGGGACAAUAAAUUGAUCAUUUUCGCCACCUCCAUUUAUAUCAAAAGCAGACAACAGGGGCAUUGGGGAAAUUUCCUUCUCGAAGGAAGGUAAAGUCAAAGCAGACCUCUCAACAGCCCAUAGCCUCUUUGGAGCUCGAACAACAACCAGAGGAGGAGGCCAGCCAGACGAUCUGGGUAAAACAGUUUCAACGACCUGCCAAAUGGCCCUACCCAUCAACCGCCCUACUAGGAGGACCGCUGAAGCAACCUUCAGACUCCCUCGAGGUAAUAUCAGACUUUUAAGAGGUUUGGACUGACCCAUCUUUAUCUCAGGUACUGCCAAAAAGUUCCAAACAGAGAUAAGUCAGGAUAAUCUUUUGUCAAGAUAAUGAAAGCAAGAUUAGAGCAAACCUCUGGGGCAACAAAGCAAUGAAGCCCCAGGCUCACCUCAAUCCAUUUGAAGAAGGCGUCAAAUAGGUCCUUUACAGAAAAAAUAGGAGAAUCUCGCUGGAAGAAGGAAAUAGACAGAGGGCUGGAAGGAAAGACUCCCUUUCUCCGACAAAGGGCCUAGGAGUGAAGAGGAGUUGACGCUGAUAUAUACUCAAAAUCUGAAGUCUUAGCACAAAGUAAAGUAACUCUAGAUUUUGAGCCCACGAUGUCAGGAUCUUUAAAAGAUAUUCAUGGAAAAGGAAAAAAGAGGCAUGUCCAGGCGAUAAUGACAGGAAAGUAAAAAGAGCAGAGUAUAUGAGAGGCAAGGAAA
rnacentral:lncRNA from 1 species